CUAGCAGUUCCGACACUCCCAGGGCAAGACCCCUCCCUCCUCCACAGGUGUCCCCAAAGUCUGGGCUCCCCUUCCCAUCCUUGGCCAAGGUUCACUUGUGAGCCCCAAAACCAGGCCCAUGUGGGAGCUGGAUCUCCCAAAGUAGGGUUUGCUCCCCAGACAGCACUGCACAUCUCCUCAGGCUGCUUCUGAGUCUUUCUGUUAAAUCAGAUACCUACUUGAUUUUUAUAAAUGUUUUUUGUCACCCUUUUUAGUACAAGUAAUAGGAAGCAUCAUUUUUGCUUUGUUUUUGUGUAUCAGGGUCUUUACACUGAGCUACAUCCCCAGAGGCAUUUUUUUUUUUUCCAGUACUGGGGACUGAACUCAGGACCUUGCAUUUGCGCUCAGUCUCCAGAACCACUGAGCUAAAUCCCCAGCCCCACCAGAGGCUUUUUUUUUUUUUUUGUACAGGGGAUCAAACUCAGGACCUUGGGCUUGCAGGGCAGGCAUGGUGCCUCUGAGUUAAAUCCCCCAGCCCCUUUAUUUUUUAUUUUGAGACAAGCUCUUGCUAAAUCACUAAAUUGCCCACAGGCUAGGCUCAAAGUUGUAAUCCUCCUGCCUCAGCCCCACAGAGUGCUGAGAUUACAAGCAUGCACCACCAGGCCUUGCUAGGAAGCAGUUUUCUUGUUGUUGUGUCUGUGCUGAUGAUGGUGACUUAACCCCCUCUGUACUGGGACUUGAACUCAGGACCUCACACAUACUCAGCACAUGCUCUACCACUGAGAUACUCAUCCACCUCCAGCCCAUGGUGGUGAUUGUUUUGUUUGUUUUUUAAAACAGGGUCUCAUUAUGUAGUUCAGGCUGGCCUUGAACUCAAGAACUCAUGGCAAUCCUCCUGAGUGCUAGGAUUAUAGAUGUGCACCACCACACCCAGCCAGAGAGCCUUUUUGAAGGAACAACUGACAAGACAAAAUGACUAAGUAGACAAGACCCAAGGAUGACCUAGAGUUCCACAUUUUUAAGAAACUUUACAUCUCUACUCUGAAACUUCAUGCAUGGAUGAAUGUACAAAUAAUAGAGAAAUAAGGACAACAGGAAAUGGAAAGAUGG
rnacentral:lncRNA from 1 species